GAAAGUCGGAGUGCAAGAAGUGAAGUCAAGCAACAAGAUUAAGGAGGUGAAUGUAGAUGUUAAUCAUGUUGCUCAUGUAGGAUUAGGAAAGAAAGCCAAACCGAGUCCUAGUAGUAUUAGGAUUCCUAGUCCUAGUCUAUUUCCAUAGUCCCUUGUGGACGUGUAUAAAAGACACCCUAGGGGUGUUGAUUGUAACACCAGAAAAAAGAAAAGCAAUACAAAGCAAAGGCUCGACACGGGCCUUUAGCCAUCAAAUCUAUCGAUCAGUUUUAUUCGUGUCGCUAGUUACGCAAGUUCCGUCAAGUAGCCGGCCGAAGCAAGAAUCGCGUAGGCACGCCUGUACAGCUGCAUACGCACGUUCAAAAGCCAACANUAUACAAAGAACUCCAAAGGCUCAAACCUGCUAGUUGGAGUUUAUGUCGACGAUCUGAUUAUCACCGGAGAUAGCGUACAAGAGAUUGAACGUUUCAAGGCGCAAAUGAAGAACAAGUUUAGCAUGAGUGAUCUGGGAUUACUCAGCUAUUACUUGGGCAUCGAAGUGAAGCAAAGCUCCGGAGAGAUUUCCCUAUGUCAAUCGGCUUACGCGGUCAAGUUAUUGGACAAGUGUGGCAUGUCAGAUUGCUACGCGACACAAGUUCCAAUGGACCAACGUCACAAGUUGAGCAAGCGUAGCUCAAAUCCGCCGGUGGACACCACAAUGUAUCGAAGCGUUGUGGGCAGCCUAACAUAUUUGGUGCAUACCCGACCUGACUUGGCUUAUUCAGUCGGGAUCGUGAGUCGUUUCAUGGAGAAUCCGACAACCGAGCACAUGAGCGCGGUCAAUCAAAUCUUGCGCUAUGUGAAAGGCACCAUUAAUCUUGGUUGCACGUACAGAAAGGGAAAGGAAGGAUUGAUCCUUCGUGGAUAUUCACAUAGCGACAUGGCAGGUGAUGUUGAUGACCGAAAGAGCACAACGGGCAUGGUUUUCUACCUUGGCCCGAAUCCGAUUAGCUGGAAUUCUCAGAAGCAAAAGGUGGUGGCACUGUCUUCAUGCGAGGCAGAAUACAUAGCGGCAAGCACGGCGGCUUGUCAAGCAGUGUGGCUGAGAAGACUCCUAGCUAUUCUUGCAAAGCGGGAGGUGCAGAAGGUGUCACUGAAGAUCGAUAACCAAGCUGCAAUCUCGUUGUGCAAAAAUCCGGUUCAUCACGAAAGGAGCAAGCACAUAGAUACCCGGUUCCACCAUAUCCGGGAGUGCAUUGAAGAAGGGUUGAUCGAGGUUCAACAUGUGAACACGAAAGACCAACUUGCCGAUAUUUUCACCAAGUCCCUCGGUCGACAGAAGUUCAUCGAGAUGAGGAGGAAAGUCGGAGUGCAAGAAGUGAAGUCAAGCAACAAGAUUAAGGAGGUGAAUGUAGAUGUUAAUCAUGUUGCUCAUGUAGGAUUAGGAAAGAAAGCCAAACCGAGUCCUAGUAGUAUUAGGAUUCCUAGUCCUAGUCUAUUUCCAUAGUCCCUUGUGGACGUGUAUAAAAGACACCCUAGGGGUGUUGAUUGUAACACCAGAAAAAAGAAAAGCAAUACAAAGCAAAGGCUCGACACGGGCCUUUAGCCAUCAAAUCUAUCGAUCAGUUUUAUUCGUGUCGCUAGUUACGCAAGUUCCGUCAAGUAGCCGGCCGAAGCAAGAAUCGCGUAGGCACGCCUGUACAGCUGCAUACGCACGUUCAAAAGCCAACA
rnacentral:lncRNA from 1 species